GUUUUUUGGUUUUUUUUU
rnacentral:sRNA from 1 species